AUAAAAAAUAAAAUAAAGAUAUUGAGUCCAACUACAACUAAAAAAAAAAUGGCUCUAGGCCAUGGUCAUCAUUGGAAGCUAAGUUUACUGCAUGAAAGUGAUAGGGAACUUUAUAAUUGACAUUUCAGGCUGGUACCACCUGAAACUGAUAGGCAAUCACAGCAUAAUUCAAGAAUAGUACAAUGCAGAAUGGUUUAUGAUGCAAUAGUAAGUGCUGCAUUAUAAUACUCUGCUGUGUUUUUGUCAGAAAAGUGCAUCUGAAUCACCAGACUUCACUCUCUGUUUAUAGGAGCUAUAAGCUAUCAUGGAGGAACAAAUUAAAAUUUACUACAAUGAACCAACAACCAAACCCAGUAUAUAGAAUAUUCUAUAACUUAAUAACCUGGCUUCUCACAAAACUGAGUGGAAAAACUGUUAAAUAUCUUUUUAGAAUGAAAAAAAUUAUGCACAUAAAACAAUAAAUAAAAUGUAUAUAUAUUGGGUCUUGAUUCAAAUAAAACAACUUCCAAAAGGAACAUUUACAUCAGUAGGAAAAAUUUGAAUAUUAUUUUAAGAUGAAGGUACUUAAGCUACAUAGUUGUCUAAGAUAAAGAUUACCAAAUGGAAGAGCUAAAUAAUAUGUUUAAUGGCAAUACUUGUAAAAUGUGUUUGAGAUAAAAUUCUGAAAUCAAGAAUAUCCCAAUAGACAUAGAGGCAUGAUUGAGGUUCUAAAAAGUAGGUAAAUUCUGUUGAAAACAAGUUAUAUAAUUGAAUUUGAUUUGAUUAGAGAACCAAUAUCAGCAGACAUAUUUGGGUUCAUUGCUCAGAAAGCUCACACAGUAUUAUACUGCUGUUUUGGUCAGUUUUGUUGCUGCGGUGACUAAAGGAUCUGACCAGAACAACUGUAGAUGAGGAAGAGUUUAUUUGAGGGUUCAUGGUUUCCGAGAUCUUAGUCCAUAGAAGGCUGGCUCCAUUUCUCACCAUUUCAGGUGAGGCUGAACACGGCAGAAGAGUGUGGAAGAGGGAAGCCACUCAGAUCACUGUCAUAAGGCAGCAGAGAGAGAGACUGUGCUUGCCAGAUACAAAUAUAUAUCCCAAAGCUACGCCUCAAUUCCCAUCUCUUCCAGUCACACCCUACCACUUCAGUUACUAUUCAGUUAACCCCUUUGAGUGAAGUAAACCCUUGGGUUAAGAUUUUCACAACCUAAUCAUUUCUCCUCCAAAACUUGCAUUGUCUCACACAUGAGCUUUUGGGGGACAUCUCAUCUAAACCAUAACACCUGCAUUAAUAAAUAUACCUUCUACAAGAUGCAUUUAGUAUUUUUUUCAUUAUACUCUUGUCAGACUGUAUCAGCAAUCCCUCCCUCCAUAACAAUAGUUCUCCCUAGACUCAUUUGUCACUAUCUGCAAAAGGUACAUGUUCAUUUUUUUUUAAAGUAAGGUUUAUUGAUACAGAAUUUACUACAAUCAACUGAUUUUCUCCUGUAAAGUUCUUUGGGUUUUGAUAAAUUCACCUAAUUGUGAAUGCAGCACCAUACAACAAUCAUUGUACAUAAUGUGUGUGUCUUAUCAGCACAAAAACAUCAUGCAAAAAAUCCUUUUAGCAAAACCUUAUCCUUAUCCCAACCCAUGGAAAUCUGUUUUCUGUUCUUAUAGAUUGUAUUCCCAUGGUUGAUAUGUAAAUGAGAUAAGAAAUAUUCAUCAUUUAGAAUUUGGCUUCUUUCAUUUAGUGUAAUGAAUUGUUAUUCAUUUUGCAUAUGUUAGUAGUUAAUUUAUUUUUAUUACUGAGUAGUAUUGCUCUGUAUGGAUAUACCACAUUUUGUGUAAUCAUUUGCAACUGAAAGAAAAAUUUGGGUGGCUUCCACUUUGUAGCUAUGAUCAAUAGAGUCACUGUAAACAUUUAUGUAUAGGAUUUUAAGUGAAGGUAAACUUUAAUUUCUUGAAGAUAAAUAUGUAACAGUGGGAUUUCUGAAUCACCAUGGCAAGUGUGUAUUUAACCUUAUAAAUAAAUGACAAACUAUUUUGAACAAUAGUUGUACAGUUUUGGAUUCUUUCUAGCAAUAUAUGAAAGUUCCAAUUGUUCCACAUCUUUGUCAGCACUCACUACUGUCACUUUUUAAAAUUUAAACCAUUCUACUUGGGGUUGAAGUGGAUUUGAUUGUGAUUAUUAGCAUAUCCUUAAUGAUUAAUAAUGUUGAGUCUGCUUUCAUUGCUUAGUUUCUAUCUGUAUACCUUCUUUUGUGAUGUAUGUGUUCACAUAUUAUAAAUUAAAUUAUAAAUUAAAUCUUUUUAUCAUUUAAUUUGGAUCAUUCCCUGUGGGUACUAAACAUAAAACUUCCUUAUCAUGUUAAUUUUCCAAAUAUUUUCUCAAUUUAAUAACCGUUAUUUUGUUUUCUUAGCAAUGUAAAAGUUAUUUUUUAUGAAGCCAUAUUGUAUAUGUGUAUAUAUAUGUAUAUAUGUAAUUUUUAGACAACUUGUACUUUGGGUAUUAUAUCCAAAUAAGUUUUCUCAAUCCGGGAUUAUAGUUUUCCCUCCAGUUUUCCUUCUAGGAGUGUUAUAGUUUUAGAAUUUAUAUUUAGGUCUAUGAUUAAUUUUGUGUUAAUUAUUUUAUAUAGUUCAAAGAAUAAAUUGAGACUUAUUAUGUGACAUAUGGAUACCUAAUUGGUUUAACAUUAUUUAUUGAAAACACUAUUCUUUCUCCAUAGAAUUGCCUUUGAACUUUUGUUGAAAAUAAAUGGACCAUGUAUACA
rnacentral:lncRNA from 1 species